rnacentral:rRNA from 1 species
ACUAGCACCGUAUCUUCGGUAUAAGGUGUGCCUACUUGGGUGAAGCUCCUAGCGAGGAGAGACUGAGAGGUUGCAACAAAGAGUCCCUCCCGACUGUUUAUCAAAAACACAGCACUAUGCUAACUCGUAAGAGGAUGUAUAUGGUGUGACGCCUGCCCGGUGCCGGAAGGUUAAAUGAUGGGGUUAGCCGUGAGGCGAAGCUCUUGAUUGAAGCCCCGGUAAACGGCGGCCGUAACUAUACGGUCCUAAGGUAGCGAAAUUCCUUGUCGGUUAAAUACCGACCUGCAUGAAUGGCGUAACGAGAUGGGAGCUGUCUCAACAAUGGAUCCAGUGAAAUUGUAGUGGAGGUGAAAAUUCCUCCUACCCGCGGCAAGACGGAAAGACCCCGUGCACCUUUACUACAGCUUGACACUGCAAUCGGGAUAGAUAUGUGCAGGAUAGGUGGGAGGCUAAGAAGCUAGGACGCUAGUCCUAGUGGAGCCAACCUUGAGAUACCACCCUUAUCUAUUCUGGUUGCUAACUUGCGAGUGUUAUCCACUCGGAGGACAAUGUCUGGUGGGUAGUUUGACUGGGGCGGUCGCCUCCUAAAAAGUAACGGAGGCUUACAAAGGUUAGUUCAUAUGGGUUGGAAAUCCAUAGAAGAGUAUAAUGGCAUAAACUAGCUUAACUGCGAGACAGACAAGUCGAGCAGAGACGAAAGUCGGUCAUAGUGAUCCGGUGGUUCUGAGUGGAAGGGCCAUCGCUCAAAGGAUAAAAGGUACGCCGGGGAUAACAGGCUGAUCUCCCCCAAGAGCUCACAUCGACGGGGAGGUUUGGCACCUCGAUGUCGGCUCAUCGCAUCCUGGGGCUGAAGCAGGUCCCAAGGGUAUGGCUGUUCGCCAUUUAAAGCGGUACGCGAGCUGGGUUCAGAACGUCGUGAGACAGUUCGGUCCCUAUCUGCCGUGGGCGUAGGAAGGUUGAGGAGAGUUGCCCUAGUACGAGAGGACCGGGGGUGAACGAGCCACUGGUGCACCAGUUGUUCUGCCAAGAGCACAGCUGGGUAGCUACGCUCGGAUGAGAUAACCGCUGAAAGCAUCUAAGCGGGAAGCCAACUCCAAGAUGAACCUUCCCUGAAGAUUCCAGCAAGACUAGCUGGUUGAUAGGGUGGGAGAUGUGUAAGCCGAUGUAAAGUCGGUUAGCUGACCAAAUACUAAUAGAUCGUUGGCCUUCCAUUU